rnacentral:SRP_RNA from 12 species
GCCGGGUGCAGUGGCGCGCGCCUGUAAUCCAAGCUGCUGGGAGGCUGAGGCUGGCGGAUCGCAUGAGUUCAGGGGUUCUGGGCUGCAGUGGACUAUGUCGAUCGGGUGUCCGCGCUAAGUUCGGUAUCGAUAUGGUGCUCCUGGGGGAGCUCGGGACCACCAGGUCGUCUAAGGAGGGGUGAACCGGCCCAGGUCGGAGACGGAGCAGGUCAAAGCCCCCGUGCCGAUCAGUAGUGGGGUCGCGCCUGUGAAUAGACACUGCAGUGCAGCCUGAGCGAUACAGCGAGACUCAGUCUUUU